UAGUCUGCAACCCGGCUACAUGAAGCUGGAAUCGCUAGUAAUCGCAGAUCAGAAUGCUGCGGUGAAUACGUUCCCGGGUCUUGUACACACCGCCCGUCACACCAUGGGAGUCGGAAAUGCCCGAAGUCGGUGACCCAACCGUUACGGAGGGAGCUGCCGAAGGCAGGUCUGGUGACUGGGGUGAAGUCGUAACAAGGUACC
rnacentral:rRNA from 1 species